rnacentral:rRNA from 1 species
GGAGUUAUGAAAUGCCGGUGGGUGAAUAUCCUGUCGGUUUGACAAAGGCCCAAGAGGAAGCCACGGCUAACUUCGUGCCAGCAGCCGCGGUAAUACGAAGGUGGCAAGCGUUGUUCGGAAUCACUGGGCGUAAAGGGUGCGUAGGCGGUACGGUAAGUCGGUAGUGAAAGCCCUCGGCUCAACCGGGGAAUUGCUUCCGAAACUGCCGGACUCGAGUGCAGGAGGGGAGAGUG